AUUGAACGCUGGCGGUAGGCCUAACACAUGCAAGUCGAACGGUAGCAGGGUAAGACCUGGUUCUUUCGUGAGGAGUGUCGGGGGCGGGAGAAGUGUCCGGGGAACUGUCUGUUUUAGGGGGGGAACUACUGGGGACGGUAACGAAAACACCAUAACCGCGCUAGGGGUGAAAGGGGGGGCUCCUGGGCCCUUGCCAGCGGGAGUGCCCAGAUGGGAUUAGCUAGUAGGUGGGGUAACGGCUCACCUAGGCGACGAUCCCUAGCUGGUCUGAGAGGAUGACCAGCCACACUGGAACUGAGACACGGUCCAGACUCCUACGGGAGGCAGCAGUGGGGAAUAUUGCACAAUGGGCGCAAGCCUGAUGCAGCCAUGCCGCGUGUAUGAAGAAGGCCUUCGGGUUGUAAAGUACUUUCGGCGGGGAGGAAGGGAGUAAAGUUAAUACCUCUGCUCAUUGACGUUACCCGAAGAAGAAGCACCGGCUAACUCCGUG
rnacentral:rRNA from 1 species